rnacentral:rRNA from 16 species
UUAUUCGAUUGCACCGAGAAAUCAAAGCUUGUGGCUUGAGGUGAGUCCUAUUAGAAGGCGGAAGUUAAAAGGAUUUCACGGAAUGGCAUCACAAGGCGUAUGUGGCUCAGUUUGAAAACAAGGUUGGGACGUCGUUCGGAUUGACAAAUUG